rnacentral:rRNA from 1 species
ACUAGUACUAGCCUGAACCAAUUACACUCAACUACCUCAUAGGCCCUAAAAUAAAACAUUCAUUCUAUAAAAGUAUAGGUGAUAGAAAUUUUACUCAGCGCAAUAGGAAAAGUACCGCAAGGGAACAACAACUAAAAGUACUAAACAGCAAGGACUACCCCCUUUACCUUUUGCAUAAUGAACUAACUAGACAUCUCUUAGCAAAGAGGACUAAAGUUAAACUCCCCGAAACCAGACGAGCUAUCUAGAAACAACAUGACAGAGUGAACUCAUCUAUGUGGCAAAAUAGUGAGAAGAUUCCUAGAUAGAGGCGAUAAACCUACCGAGCCUGGUGAUAGCUGGUUGUCCAACAAAUGAAUUUCAGUUCGACUUUAAAUUUACCAAUAACUCCACGUAAUUCUAAUGUAAAUUUAAAAGAUAAUCUAAAAGGGUACAGCCUUUUAGAUAUAGGUUACAACCUUUGUUAGAGAGUAAUCCUAGAAGCUACCAUAGUAGGCCUAAGAGCAGCCAUCAAUUAAGAAAGCGUUCAAGCUCAACAAACACCUAAACCUCAAUACCAAUAAUAAACGUAAACUCCUAACGCUAAUAUUGGACUAUUCUAUAAAUAAAUAGAAGCAAUACUGUUAGUAUGAGUAACAAGAAGAUUUCUCCCCGCAUGAGUAUAUAUCAGAACGAAUAAUUCACUGAUAGUUAACAAAAAAUAAAAUAAUCCUAAGAACAAGAGAUGUUAUAAAAUAAUUUGUUAACCCGACACAGGAGUGCGCUGCAGGGAAAGAUUAAAAGGAGUAAAAGGAACUCGGCAAACAAAGACCCCGCCUGUUUACCAAAAACAUCACCUCUAGCCUUACUAGUAUUAGAGGCACUGCCUGCCCGGUGAUACAAAUUAAACGGCCGCGGUAUCCUGACCGUGCAAAGGUAGCAUAAUCACUUGUUCCCUAAAUAGGGACUUGUAUGAAUGGCCACACGAGGGUCAAACUGUCUCUUACUCUUGAUCAGUGAAAUUGACCUCCCCGUGAAGAGGCGGGGAUAUUCCAAUAAGACGAGAAGACCCUAUGGAGCUUUAAUUAACUAGCCUAACAAGAAAAUUUAAAUACCAAAAGGAUUAACUUAAUCUUAAUAUAGGCUAGCAAUUUAGGUUGGGGUGACCUCGGAGCAUAAAAAAUCCUCCGAGUGAUUAACGUCUAGACUUACCAGUCAAAACAAUAAUAUCAUUAAUUGAUCCAAACUUUUUGAUCAACGGAACAAGUUACCCUAGGGCUAACAGCGCAAUCCCAUUCAAGAGUCCAUAUCGACGAUGGGGUUUACGACCUCGAUGUUGGAUCAGGACACCCAGGUGGUGCAGACGCUACCAAGGGUUCGUUUGUUCAACGAUUAACAGUCCUACGUGAUCUGAGUUCAGACCGGAGUAAUCCAGGUCGGUUUCUAUCUAUUUUAUGUUCCUCCCAGUACGAAAGGACAAGAGGGCCAAGGCCUACAGUGCACCCGCGCCUUAUAACUAACAGGUGAUAUAAUCUUAACCUGACAAUAUAGUACCAUAUAG